GCCGGGGUGGCGGAACGGCAGACGCAGUGGACUUAAAAUCCACUGGCCCUCUGGGCCGUGAGGGUUCGAGUCCCUCCCCCGGCA
rnacentral:tRNA from 1 species